UGUACUUGUUGUUUCCUCUUCCCAUGACAUUACCUUAAUUUUCGUAACAUAUUUACUUCCACUUGUCUAAAGAUCCAAUGAAGGAGCGUGUCAGCCACCUGUUUCUGAAUUAUAUAUUGUUGAAUUAAACUGAUUUUUCUGAAACCAACAACACUUCAAAAGUUUCAAACAAUCCAAAAAAGCUUUGUAAGAAACGCGUCUAUAGUCCCAUCAUCAAAGUUACAUAUUGCAUCAAGGCUUAAAUUUUAUGAUAAGAACUCCUUACAAUUUUAUAAUAACUCUUGGUGUCAGCACCUUAGCAGAUAGAUUCUUUUCCCACUGGUUAUCUUCCUUUUCAAUACAAAACUAAACAAUCAACUCAUGCAUGCAAGGAAAUUUCCUUGGACUAGGACCAAUAUAGGGAACAAAUCUAGUUAUAUAUAUAAUCUUAUAGGGUGCAUGCAAAAUAGUGAGGGGAAGCAAUCUUUUGUGUUUUUUUCAGGGAAUGAAACUGAUGACUAUGAUUGGCAUACAAAUUGUCAGGAACAGAUUGUGGUGACAGUUCUAAAGAAUGAUCAAGAGAUCAAUAGUGAUGGAUUGAUAAGUGGGUUUGGUGCUGCUAUGAAGAAAGGGUUUGUGUUAGAUUGGAUGAAAGCUGGAGAAUGUGCUGAGUGUGAAGGUUCUGGUGGGUUUUGUGGAUACAAUGAAACUAAUAAGCAAUCCAUGUGCAUAUGCAAUGAUAGAAUUGUUGCCAAAAGUUGCAAGAAAGGUACGUACACUAAUAUUUCAGCUUCUUCAAUAGUGUUAAGAGUUUUUGUGCAUCCUAUCAUAUGUAUAAUGUUGAAAUACAUAAGCAUCCAUCAAUUGAUUUGUUAAAACUAUUUGCUUGUUGAAGUUCUACUAUUUUAUUUUUCUAGCUGUACUAGUUUUUCGAGCUUAAUGAUUUUGUCCACAUGUUCAAGUCAUAGAUGUGUUAUUAUCAUUUCUUUUAACUAUAAUUCACUGAUUCAUCCGAAGCAGCAUACUUAUGUGGAAAUGAAUUAAGGUUUGGGCUUAAGACAUGAUCCAUUCAUUCCUCGAUUGCCCAAAAAUGUAAUGGGCUCCUCAAAUAAAAAGGAGAAGCAAGUCAUUUUCAGAACGUGACAAGCAUGUUUAUUAAAUGACAAGUACUAAAUGAAUAGUACUACUAUUUAGCUCAAGUUUUUUCCUUCUUUUUUCGUUGACCCAGUAACAUAACUGUUAUGUUUUUUUUAACAUUGCAUCUAAUAUUGGCCAAAAUAGGAACAGUCUACUUGUGCAUCUAAUAUUUGACAUGUGCAUUCUAUUAAAACACCUAAUACCUUGAUCAUAUCAUAAAAUACUAGUAUCGCCUUAUAAAAAUCCAAACAUAUUAUAUAAACUGUGAGAAUAAUAAAUAUGAAUUUAAUAACAAAGCAUGUAUGAAGAGAGUAGUGAAGGUUUCCAAUGGGAAUAAAGUAGGAGACAGAGUCCCAUGGGAGCGGUAGGUAAAGAGUUUUGGUAUUGUGAGCUGUUUUUGACACUGACAUAUAAUCCAUUGCUUUUGAAAUCGUCAAUCCAAAUUUCCUACUACCUCUUCCAACCACACCCUAUUAUAUAACUAUUUUUAUCCAUUUUCUCUUUUUUCUUUCAUUGUAUUCUCUCCAUGUCCUUAGAUAGAAUUGGAAUUUUCUACUCAUAAUAUCACUUUUGUGACAAAAACACCACACUCGUUGAGUAAAUAUUAGUAUCUUAUAGAUAUCUAUACAAUAUAGAUGCUUGCAAAACCAAAAUUUAUGCCCCACCCAAUUAUCAAAAUCAUAUUCAUCAACCUGCCAAAUAAGUUAAAUGUGG
rnacentral:lncRNA from 1 species